AGGUUGAAUGAGCUUUAUCAAGAUAAAUGCCAUAAAAUGUUUUUAUGGCAUUUAUCUUGAUAAAGCUCAUUGGUACCA
rnacentral:pre_miRNA from 1 species